UACGUAGGGGGCUAGCGUUGCUCGGAAUGACUGGGCGUAAAGGGCGCGUAGGCGGUUUGUCCAGUCAGGUGUGAAAUUCCCGGGCUCAACCUGGGGGCUGCGUUUGAUACUUGCGGGCUUGAGUUCGGAAGAGGGUCGUGGAAUUCCCAGUGUAGAGGUGAAAUUCGUAGAUAUUGGGAAGAACACCGGUGGCGAAGGCGGCGACCUGGUCCGAUACUGACGCUGAGGCGCGAAAGCGUGGGGAGCAAACAGG
rnacentral:rRNA from 1 species